ensembl:lncRNA
GUUAUGUUCAUUCUUUGAAAUAGACUGAUGACUCUUAAGUAAGUACAUAUGCAAAAUGCUUGGCAGGGUCUUACCCGUCAAUUAUGGCUGGAAGCAAAGAAGUUAAUACGGUUUUAAAUGAACUAUUAGGAUGCAAAAGACUAUUUUAAACAUGUGAUGAUAAAGUGCCCUUGUAGCAGAACAGGAGAUGCUGGUUAAAAGAGAAGAAACCUGUUUUAAAGGUCUGCAACAUUGCUAUCUCUAUUGGUGUUUAUUAUGCUUUGGUAAAACAAAUGCAGCUAUGAGCCGUCGCCUGGAGUUACAACAAAACUUCAUGCGCAAUGAUAUAUAAGUUUACAAUAUGGUUGUUUUGCAUUUAGGGCCAGUUAACUACAGUCCACGACACAAAAAUCUGAUUCUGUAUGUUUUUGCUCUGUUUAAAAUAAACUUCAGUUUCAAAGAUUGAUGAAUUACCACAAAUUUCCAUUGUCACAAUUCUCAAUUUCGAUGUAUUUGUUCAAUGGCGAUUAUGUGGUUAGAAAUAAGGAAUUUCCUACAAAAAGCUGCAGCUACAUUUGCAAAUGUAUGGACUAUUUACAUAAUACAAAUCCUAUGCACAUUAACAAACACACGGAUUGAACCAAGCAAGGCUCACCUCCAUGCAUAUACACUGGGUAAAUUUCCACUCCACACAGACAAUCUUCAGUUGUCUUGCUGAGGGGGGAACUGCUGGUCAGAGCCAUAGACUGUCAAUGCACAACCUCUGAUGGGACAAUGACACGCACGUGCAUACACAAACACACACACACACACACACACACACACACACACAAAAUAGCCGUGAAAGGCUGUAGCGGCAGCAACAAAGAAGGGAAGGGUAUAGGGAUGGAUAGCCAUGAUGUGCUUACGGUCGAACAUGAAGUGUGACCCACUCAACCUGACCAGUCUAUAUUAGGACAGGAAGCAAGGGCCAUUAUGGGUGUUCCACGUGGCUCCCCCAAAAGCAUCUCGGUGAGGCAAAGUCAUGGGAAUUUAUCGCCCUACAGAAAGACCCACGUGGGGGUCCGCGCGUUUCAAGAAAGGGGUCAGUGAAGAGCAACAAAACACAGUGCUCAUUUAUCAAAUAAGGCUGCGGGAGCAGGUUUAUGGCUUCAAAAAAAUAAGUCAUAGAAUGAUCAAAAAAAAAGAAGAGAAUUCUUGCUUUCAACAGUCAGCAAGAAUUAAUCUAAUUUGUACAAACUACAGAGUCUAGCCAUGCUAAUGUGAACCAGAGGAAACAGCUUUCCUAAAUGUUCUUUUACUUCUCAAUAUGUUUUGACAUUUGAGAGAAGGAUGUCGCUCUGUGGGAUUCCUGCAGAUUUUUCAUGCAGUUUCCAAGUUAAAAUGAAACAUAGCUGCUCUGGUUUAAUUGUAUUUAUAUUCAAGAAAUAUUGGAAAUGAAGUUACUGUUAUAAAGUAAUCCAAACAUUUAUAUUAUUGUUGUACCCAAUAGAAAAUAUGUAAAUGUGAUAGUCUCCACACUCAUCAUAGCAGGGAAAGGCUGACCAAUCUUAGGCCAUCGACUUUACUAACAUCACAAGAGGUCAGAGUUCGAGUUUAAUACUUGAAUGGAAAUGCUAGGGCGCUGUGGGAGGGCACCUCAUCGCUCCUACAGAGUGCAAGGUAUAACAAUAAGCGUGUGUGUGUACGUACGUACAAACGUGUGCAUGUGCAAUUAAUAGUACAAUUAUGAGAGUUGACAGCAAGGUCAUGGCCCAGGGUUUGCUGCAGAGACAAUACCAGCAUCCUUUCUCAGGGAAUAAUAUGCGGUUGGUAAGACCCACUAAAAAGACCUGUGGCUUGAUGGCUGAGGACCAAUAACCUUCCUGUCCCCCAGCUCCAAGAACAAUUACUAAAACAGGGUAUCGUCUCCCGUGCGUGCGCAUGAACUCUAAUGUUUUUUUCAACAAAGUACCAAAAUGCCAAAGAACAUUAUAAAAAACAAAUUUACAACAUUAUUUUGUCUGCUUUUUAUAUCUAAAAAUCUGCAUUUUACCGUGGGUUUUCAACUAAAGGAUUCAAAUUAGUAAUUAUUUUCAGGUUUUCUGAUAUUUUCCUGGAUUUGAAGGGUCCUCUCAGACCUUAUUCUUCAUACAUCCUCCAUUCCUGCCUUAAUUAUACCAUCUGCCCACAGCAAUACAUUAUUUUCCCAAAUUGCAAAACGGACCCCAAACAAUGAGAUUGCACACUAACUUCUGGUUUGGAAUAACCUAACCUAAACAUCAAAUCUGCUAAAUAUACAGCACAGAAAAACCUUUUAUUUCAAAAAGUACCAAUAAAUCAUGACUACAUGGCAAGUGAAAAACACUUCGGUAGGUUCCAGUUUGUAUCAUUGCUGUUUUUAAUCAAAAUGGGCUCAUUAUAAUGUAGACUAAAUAUAUUUAAAAAGGUAUGGAGUAUCUCUCUUGGCAUAUAAAAAACGUUAUAGUUUUAUUAUAUUAAAAUUAUAUUUUAUUUAAAUAUUUGUAAUAUGUGGGCCACCACCUAAAUUUAUUUUUGCAACACUCGUAUGUAUAAUUGUAAUAAACAAAUGUGCAGCCUUGAUACCUUCCACAUGCUGUGCCUGCACAAACAAAGUACUACAUCAAUCAAACAUGAUACAUCUGUCUCACUCCAAGAAUAAAGGAUUGUUCUGUUGCAUGGCACUUCUGAAAGAAAAUGGUAAUUUGAGGGAGAAGGGGGAACAUUGGUGCAACAUUUUAUCCUCUCAAGGUGUGGAAAUGAAAAACAGACCAUAACUAAUACGAGGUGUAGGUCUGCUGGUUUUCUCAUCUCACAUCAUGAAACGUGUAAAUGCAGAACACUCACUGAUGCAAAGUCAAACCUUUUGUGGUAUUUUUACUAGGACGCGCUAAAUAGCCUAAAUUAACAUUAUCCAUUUUUGGCUGCAGAAAACAUGUAAGAAAGCAACCAAUUAACUUGUGUUUUAACAUAAACAAUUUGGGCUUCAUAGAUAAAGCCCAGGAAACGUUUCGACUCAGCGUUUUAAAGGCAUCCUUUACAUCUCUUACCCCCAGCAGUGCUCCAUGGUGCACAUAUCAGCGGAGACAGGCACAGCCUGUUGCAAGGCAGCAUUGAGAACUGUGAGAUCUAUUUCCCCCUAUUCCAACACACUGGGAAGACAAGCCUUCUCACCCCCAGCAAACAUCAAUCUCAUUCUGUCUGCAACAUGCAACACUUCAACAUCAUUCAUCAAUGUUUAGGCUCCGUUUAUGGCGAUGUCCCCUUUUGUACUGUGCAACUAUUAGAGGGGGGAGACCGGACUAGAGCGAGGCAGGCAGUAAAACAGUUUCCGCCCAGUGAAUCACAUUCAGAUCCUCACACAGGCGACUGGGGGCUGACCCCUGCCAAGCGAUGACAUAAACACAGACAAACAAAGGACCUGAGCUCUGAGCAAGUGUGGAUCUUAGAGGAUGUAAAUUCACGCAAAAAAAAAGACUGUGACCCAAAGGUUUGGGAUGAUGGAAAUAGAGAUUUUAGGUUUGAAGGGUCGACGAAUGACGAUUUUUCAUGGCAAGUUUUGCUGCCUCUUUACAAACAAAGGGGCGUUCUGCUCAGCAGAUCCAAUAACGUCUCCAUUUUAAACAAAGAUAUAGUCCAGAAACAGUUAACAGCGAGGGCUGGUGCAACGGAAGAGCAGGUGUAAGUGCUGAAUGGAUACAGAAGCAGCUCCCUCCCCAGAGAGAAAAGGGAUUUAACACUGCUGAGGCACCACGGAGGAGGCAACAAAAGAGAUUUGCAAGGGACGCACCAAGAUGACAUCACGUCAAAGCAAUUAGAAAUAAGAAAAUAAGGUGGACAUAUUCAAUUAUUCAUGGGAGAAAAAAAAACACCCCAUCAACUGGUGUAAAACCACGAAGCCGGCACGUCUGAGUUAAAUACGAAAAAGAAGCAUCUCCGCAAUUAGGCUUCAGGCACCACUCGCUGAUUCAUCAGUAACAAGCGCAUGUGCGCAACUUCGAGUGUGCCAAGAUUACUUACGGCCCGAGUAAGCCUAUAGAUUAGUCAACGGAGCCCCUAUGAGAGGGUCUCCAGCUCACCAUGUGUGGCAGUUCCCCCCUGAAUUGUUGUUUUAUUUCGGUGGGAGAGAGAGAAAGCCACACAAAGCGCAGUGAUCACACUGGAGAUCCUGGAUGUAACCAUGGAAGCGUUUGUCCGCGUCCUCAAUGGGCUCCUCGGCCAUUCAUUUACUGAUUGCGCUGAAUCAAUAUUUAGGCUUUUCAAUUUUAUUAGCUGCUCCGAGGGGGGGGAUUGUUGGCACGAUGCAAAAAGGAAUUAGCAGCGGCCAACCACUUUUAAUCGUUUUGUUAUAGUGUUGGACAAUAUGUCCGCUUGAGCCGUCUGGCAUAAUUGAUGAGGAGUGUCGCUAGUCGUUUGUUUCUAUUAUGUCCUGGACUAUCAACACACCGCUAUAACGCCUCGAGCAAUCACUACUGACUGACUUACUAAAAACAAAAAACACUGAGAGGUUCGCGUGGUCCCAGAGGCGCUAAAGCCAUGUGUCAUCCUAUAAAAUCAAUCCGGCAAAAGUUAUGACGCUGGUCGCCACACAUCCGCACUCACGAAGACAAACAGAAGCCUGCACUUGAAAAGAGACUUGCGAUGCAUUAUUCAAACUUGCCUGACACCUUCCUUGGAUUCCCCGUCCGAGAUAAAUUACUUGAGUGUAUCUAAUGCCGGCGAUCACAUCGAUGAGUCCUCUCGGGAGUCUGUGGGUCCUUCUCUUCGCUUCCUCCCUCCGGCGGAUCGGGGAUCCCGCUCAGCUACACGGGGUGAAGCGUGGGUGUCAUCAUGCGGGACUGAUGCCGGGGGGGGAUACCGGAGACUUGAGAGGAAUCCCCGUUUUUUUUUUUUAAGGACCUUCUAUUCUCUCUAUAACCCGCUCGUUCCUCCCGCGGCCAUGUGAGAGCCACUGCUGCUGUACACUCACUCACUCACUGAUCCAACGCGAAGGUUUUGCAGCGACUCGGGGAUUCCAGUUCGUCUCCCGGUCUCUGCCUAAUGAGACACGAUGUUUUAAUCCCAUUUGUCUCUGGUGGGGGCUCGGUGUGGUGAUGGGGCAGCGCCGCACUGUGGCCCGGACAGGCAGAAACCCGAGUAAACUGCUCUCAGCUUGUAUUGUGGUCACUCAACAUAAACUUCUUCAUUUAGUUAUUUCAAAUUUGAAAAAAAUACACAACCCGCCAGCUAGGGGCGUUUCUCUGCACAGCCAUAACGUUGUUGGCUGCCAGCUGAGUUAAAAGGCAUGAAGUAAUUUGAGCUGAUGCUAACCGUUAAUGUAGCUAAGCUAACGCUAACUGUAACGUUAAGUUAAGUUUAAUUAUACAUUUACAUUUUUUAAUUUAGCUGACGGCUUUAUCCAACGCAACUAACAAUAUGCAUAUUCAAUCACAUGGGUACAUACCAAUAAUACGAAUAAUGAAGAAAGAAC